ACCUGGCAGGCUCAUUCAAUAGAGCACGUGACUCUUGAUCACGGGGUCAUGAGUUCAAGCCCCAUGUUGGGUG
rnacentral:tRNA from 1 species